CGCACACGUCCUACCGGAGAAAGCAGGGGACCUUCGGGCCUUGCUCUAUCAGAUGAACCUACGUCGGAUUAACUAGUUGGUGGGGUAAUGGCUCACCAAGGCGACCAUCCAUACCUGGUCUGACAGGAUGAUCAAUCACACUGGAACUGACACACAGUCCAGACUCCUACCGGAGGCAGCAGUGGGGAAUAUUGGACAAUGGGCGAAAGCCUGAUCCAUCCAUGCCGCGUGUGUGAAGAAGGUCUGCCGAUUGUAAAGCACUUUAAGUUGGGAGGAAGGGCAUUAACCUAGUACGUUAGUGUUUUGACGUUACCGACAGAAUAAGCACCGGCUAACUCUGUGCCAGCAGCCGCGGUAAUACAGAGGGUGCAAGCGUUAAUCGGAAUUACUGGGCGUAAAGCGCGCCUAGGUGGUUUGUUAAGUUGGAUGUGAAAGCCCCGGGCUCAACCAGGGAACUGCAUCCUAAACUGGUGAGCUGCAGUACUGUAGAGGGUGGUGGAAUUUCCUGUGUAGCAGCGAAAUGCUUAGAUAUAGAGAAGGAACACCACUGGCGAAGGCGACCACCUGGACUGAUACUGACGCUGAUGUGCUACAACGUCGUGAGCAACCAGGAUGAUAUACCCUGGUAGUCCUCGCC
rnacentral:rRNA from 1 species